rnacentral:lncRNA from 1 species
GCUUGUCAGCCGGCAAUUAAUAUAAAGCUCUAGUUGUCAACCACUAGUCUACUACACCCACUUAUUUCUUAAAAGAAAAUAGGAAAAAAGGAAAAAAACAAACCACCCCUACCCCCACAUGUCUUAUCUUCUUCAUCUCUCUUCUUUCUUUUUCUCAUCUUCUGCAUCUCUCUUUUUCUCUCAUGAAAUCUGCUUGAGCCUUGAGGACGUCUGCUUUGCUGCUUGAAGAAUUGAAGAUUGCAAAUUGAAAGCCCAGAAAGUAUUCAAACUUCAAAGCACUAUGUUGGAGAGAGAGAGAGAGAAUAGAGGGAGAGAGGCUGUGCGGCAAGGUUGGUGUAUAGGUUUCUGAUCGGUUUGGUUUUGUGUUUUGUGGAAGAGUUGA